rnacentral:rRNA from 1 species
GAUGAACGCUAGCGGCAGGCUUAAUACAUGCAAGUCGAGGGGCAGCAUGAGUGUAGCAGUACAUUUGAUGGCGACCGGCAAACGGGUGCGGAACACGUACACAACCUUCCUAUAAGUGGGGAAUAGCCCAGAGAAAUUUGGAUUAAUACCCCGUAACAUAAUGGUGUGGCAUCACAUUAUUAUUAUAGCUACGGCGCUUAUUGAUGGGUGUGCGGCUGAUUAGAUAGUUGGCGGGGUAACGGCCCACCAAGUCUACGAUCAGUAGCUGAUGUGGGAGCAUGAUCAGCCACACUGGCACUGAGACACGGGCCCUACUCCUACGGGAGGCAGCAGUAAGGAAUAUUGGUCAAUGGACGCAAGUCUGAACCAGCCAUGCCGCGUGAAGGAUUAAGGUCCUCUGGAUUGUAAACUUCUUUUAUCUGGGACGAAAAAAGGCGAUUCUUCGUCACUUGACGGUACCAGAUGAAUAAGCACCGGCUAACUCCGUGCCAGCAGCCGCCGUAACAC